CUAUCGUCUCCUGUUUAACGUCACCACAAAGCUGCAGGAUGAGACCAUUCUAUGAUUUGGCCAUUUUGACACCUAACCUGCUGUUAUUCCGACACAUGUUAAUGAGCCCCUCCUCUGAACUGUGAAAGCUUGACAAAGAAGCAAGGGAGGGAGGACGGACAGAUAUGAUUGGAAUGUGUGGGAUGCUAGGAGAGAGAGAAGGAAUCUACGUGAGCCGUUUUCAGCCUGAGAAAAUCUUACAACCCCAAGGUCAUGAGCUGAAGACUUCCGAAAGGUGCAGAUUGUUUUCCCAAAAUAAAACACUUAAUCUGGA